rfam:Serratia marcescens FGI94, complete genome.
CUUUAACAAUCUGGAACAAGCUGAAAAUUGAAACGAUUGAACGCUUCUUGACGUAAGAAGUGGUUCAACGAGUCUCUCAAAUGUUUGCAGCGCGAAGUGAAACAUCUUCGG